UACAUUGCUAAGAAAUGCGCAAGUCUAAAGGUUUAUAUAUGAUAUUCUUUUAAGCUAGGUCAAUUGAGUCUCCAUGACUAGCUCAUAUAGAGCGAGCUACUUACUCAAAGAUAGCUUGGUCAGAUGAUGCUCUGCUCUUGAAGGUGUACAUACUUCUUAUCCUUGAGGCCUCCUGAUAUGGAAAUUCUUAAUGGGCUUAAGUUUAACCCUAACAUGCAGAACUAUGACUGUUCUUCUAAUCAGUUCAAGUGGUGCAGGCAAAAGCCCAAUAGAAGACGUGGUACUGCCUGCACGGGUUAGAAAGCAAACGAUUACAAUGAAAUAGUGUCCCAAACAUGCUUUGAAUGGUUAGAAUAAAUAGCAACAGAAAAUUAA